rnacentral:rRNA from 1 species
GACGAACGCUGGCGGCGUGCUUAACACAUGCAAGUCGAACGGACAGACAGAGAGCUUGCUCUCUUGAAGUUAGUGGCGAACGGGUGAGUAACGCGUAAUCAACCUGCCCUUCAGAGGGGGAUAACAACGGGAAACCGUUGCUAAUACCGCGUACGAUUCAUGAACGGCAUCGUUUAUGAAUGAAAGGUGGCCUCUAUGUAUAAGCUAUCGCUGAAGGAGGGGAUUGCGUCUGAUUAGCUAGUUGGAGGGGUAACGGCCCACCAAGGCAAUGAUAAGUAGCCGGUCUGGGAGGAUGAACGGCCACAUUGGGACUGAGACACGGCCCAAACUCCUACGGGAGGCAGCAGUGGGGAAUCUUCCGCAAUGGACGAAAGUCUGACGGAGCAACGCCGCGUGAGUGAUGAAGGUCUUCGGAUUGUAAAGCUCUGUUAAUCGGGACGAAAGAGUUCUGCGUGAAUAAUGCAGAAAAGUGACGGUACCGGAAUAGGAAGCCACGGCUAACUACGUGCCAGCCGCCGCAGUAA